UAGAAGAGCUGUAACCGUGUUGUGGCC
rnacentral:sRNA from 1 species